rnacentral:sRNA from 1 species
AUUUUUGUUUCUCAAGUUACAUUUUGGCAAAGGUCAGUGAACAUGUAAACAGUUACCUUUCUUUCAUCCUUUUCAAUUUCUUAACUAUUGUGAUUCUCCAGUGAUUCUGUGAUCAAAAUGGAUCUUAUUUUCAAUUGUAUCAUUAAUCUGGCAAUUGAAGCAAAGAUUAAAGCAUAAGAUACAGCAAUUGAGAGGUACUGAUGUUAGUAAGGGACAAUGCCCACCUCAAGCGCUAGUUGUCGCAUUAUUACUGUGAUUUACCUUUAAUUUUAAUCUUUCAUUUUUUUGUAAAAAAAAUUAAAAAUAGUUUUCCUAUUUAAUUUUGAUCAAAAUUUUUCUGUGGUGCCCUCCAGUGGGCAUUGUCCCUUCAGGUUCUCUGUACCUCUUUACUGCAGUAUCUUAUACAUUAAUCUUUGAAUUGAAGAGCUAUUAGGUAACACUCGAUGUCUAGAUAAACAUUACAUUUAAGUGGUCAUCAUGUGUGUAUGUUCAACUUCUUGUAUUCAGCCUGUGACCGGAUUUUUAUUAUCAUUUGGUUUGACUUUUGAUCUUUUUCAAGGCUAAUUUAUUGACCAACUUGCUGAUUAUAAGGUAAUUAUUAUUUGUUCAAGGCUUAAUUUUGUCUGAUAAGAUCUGUUAAUUCAUGUCAAAAGUGGCAACUCUGUCGUAUUGUCAAAAGAUUAACAUGUGAAAAGCCAGACUAAACAAAAUUAAGGUUGAUCAUCAGAUUAACUUGCAACUUAUCUUUUCAAUGUUGUUAUUUUUUACCAUUUCCGUAACUUGAACACCUACCAGAUUACCCUUUCUAACCGUCAUCUAUCGCCAGUUUUCAUGUUAAUCGCAAUUAUUACACCAAAAUUAUCGUUUGUUUCCUUCUAGACAAGCAACGUGUUAACAAAAAAUUAACCAUGUAAUACUUAGAAAAGCCUUUAAAGCUAAUACUAAAUCCUAUGUUUUGUUUUCCCUUCUAGGUGUACGUUAAGUAAACCCAAUUGUACUCUCAAUGAGCUGAUAAUACAUGUUGG